AGUCCAUUCAGAAAAAAAUGAACUUCUAGCUUUUGGCCAUAAAUGGGUCAAACUUUGAGUUUUUUUAGAAUUUUUUUUGGCAAUCCCCUAUGGAAUCCUCUUCCAAUUAUGUUUCUGAAGUUUUUUUGUCCAAAAAGCAAGCCAUAGCAAGAAUAGGAUUUCGGCCAGGUUUUGCCCCAAAAGCACAGAAUUGGGAAAACCAUCAAAAUCCAGGCCGUUUGACCCCGCCUGGCAACAGUGCAUUCUGCGGUUCGAACCCCAGUUCAGGCACCCUUUUUGGACCCUUUUCAAAUUUCAAAGUUCGCAGCACUGCACUGUGUACGAUGAAAUCACGAAAAACCGCCAAAUACGGGAGCUCGCCAGAGCCAGAGCCCAUCUUUUUAUGAAUGGACUGUAGUGAGUUAUGAUCAGAAGUGUCCUGUGGGUCUAGCCCUCAGCCCCUCUGCGGCAAGCAGUAAACUAUAUUUACACCAAAAAGCGCAAAACAAGACUUGAUUUUUUACGCGGCUCUUUUCACCAUGAUAAUUAUUGUACACGUUUGAAAAUUUGAAAUACUCAUGGCAACUGGUGGGUGAAUCAUUCAAAAAUGCAAACGUGCCCGCUGUUGAGUGCAGCCAUGUGAAUCCACACAGUCACUUUUCUCGUAAAUCACUCGCCGUAAAACGUGCAAGUGGCUGUCGUGUGAAUCGCCUAUAACUGACUGUCUGCAGUUGUCGAAGUAUUUCCCUGCACUCACUGUACUUUGUUAGAGAUGUUCCGCAUAACGUAAUUACGUUAGUUAAAAAAUGUAGUCGAUCUACGGAAAGUCUUACGUAAACUGCAUGCGCAUCUGGGUUCCGCCAUACGGAGUUUUCAAAUCAUAGCAGACUCAGCGGAGGACGUUCAGGUUGGUUGUAACUCUUGAGUUUCAUGCCGUUAGGCAAACAUCAGACAACUGAUACUCGGGUCUACCCAACAGUGAGUCAGUAUGCUUAUAAAUACAUAGGGCCACAAGCAUAAACAAAUUUAGCGCUAAAUCUGGUGUAAGGUAUGGGGAGAACAGCUGGUGCGGGCCACGGCGCGACAGUAGAAGUGCCAGGAGGGUGGCAGGCAACAGGCAGGUGUGAGCAUGAAAGCGCAGAAAGAGGCGAUGGGGAGGCAGUGUACAGCAGAUGGGUGGAGGUGCCAGGAGGAUGGCGGGCAAUGGGCCAGUGAGAUCGCUAGGGGGUCUUUGGGUGAUGGGCAGGCGUGGGCGUACUAUUGACAUCAUGGAUGUGUCCUCACAACAAGGCUCCACCACGAGCAUGGCAAACUUUACAAAAUACUACACGAAUGCGAAACGCGACGAACUCUACAACGUCAUUAGCCUGGAGUUCACCAAGACUAAGUUGGAGCCUCAAGUGGAGUCACCCAGUCUGGUACGUCAUAUGGAUGGAGUGGACUUGGUGUGGCCGGAAACAUUGCGCGCUUUGCAGCAGGAGGCCACCAACCGACUGGUCGACAUGAAAUAUCCCAAAGUGCAAAAGUACUGCCUGAUGAGCGUCGGUGGCUGCUACACAGAUUUCCGUAUCGACUUUGGUGGCACAUCCGUCUGGUAUCACAUUCUCAAGGGUGGAAAGGUUUUCUGGCUGAUUCCUCCGACCCCAAUCAAUCUUCACAUCUAUGAGCAGUGGGUGUUGUCGGGUAAACAGCAGGAUAUAUUCCUGGGUGACAUGGUCGAGAAGUGUGCCCGCGUCGAAUUGAAACCAGGCUUGACUUUUGUCAUUCCUACUGAAUCUGCGUGUGUCGCCCGCACCAAUACCUGACAACAUUGUGGAAAUAGUGGCAGUUGAAACAGAGAUUGUAUGCAAGUCCUCAGCUGCUACUGCAUCUCCAAGAAAGACAGCAGGUAUAUCAUCUCGUGACGACCACAUUUAAGUCUGAAUUUGAAGUGCGAAGAUGCUUCAGCAACCACAUCGUACUUUUCCAUUGCUUUCAUUGUGCUUCUACUGUGCAUGUGUGUAACUUGUGGGGUAUAUAAUUAUGUGAUGACAUUGUAUGCUGGCGACACGGUCAGUUUUUGUCCAUGCGUGUAACGUACACCUGCAUGUUAUGCAUUGAAAAGGAUCUGCCACUUGCGAUCCUGGGACAAGUAUCAGGUCAGCUUUGCCUUGUGUGGGCUGUACCAGAUUGCUGUUCACUUUUCCAUCUGUUGGAUAUGUGACUUUCUGCAAGUCUCUGGUGUAUGGUGGCCACUUCUUUGCUUGUCACUUUGUAUGAUAUUACAUUCUGUAUUCGCUGCUUCCAUGGCGUGGUCUGCAAACUGCAAUCCUUGGGCAAAUGUCAUGUUUGCUAUGUUGUGCUUUGGCCGUCAGCUUGUCUACACGUUGUAGUUGAAUUAUUUUGUUCCACAACUGACUUCCUUUUAAAAGUACGGUGGCCACUGCUUUGCAUGGCAUUUUA